rnacentral:rRNA from 1 species
AGAGAGAGACAUGCGCGCAUAUCAAUAAGCGGAGGAAAAGAAACUAACUAGGAUUCCCUCAGUAACGGCGAGUGAAGCGGGAAGAGCUCAAAUUUGAAAUCUUCAAGGUUCUACCUUGACGAAUUGUAGUUUAAAGAAGUGUUUUCUGUUGGAGUUUUGGUAAAAGUUCUUUGGAAUAGGACAUCAUAGAGGGUGAGAAUCCCGUAUUUGACCAUUAUUUCCAGCUUUGUGAUACACUUUCAAAGAGUCGGAUUGUUUGGAAUGCAGUCCAAAAUGGGUGGUAAAUUUCAUCUAAAGCUAAAUACUGGCGAGAGACCGAUAGCGAACAAGUACCGUGAGGGAAAGAUGAAAAGAACUUUGAAAAGAGAGUUAAACAGUACGUGAAAUUGUCAAAAGGGAAGCGUUUGACACCAGUGUUGUUUUCUCGAAAAUCAAUUAAAAAAGGCAGGAUUUUGUGUUGUAUUGACUUUAUCAGCUUUCUGCACUCUUUUCUUGUCUUUUUUAAUGCACUUUUCGUUUAACAAGUCAACAUCAAUUUCUUUUGUUGUAAAAGGGUCAUUGGAAGGUGGCUUUCUUUUCGGAGAAAGUGUUUAUAGCCUUUGGCCUCUGCAAUCGGAGAGAUUGAGGUCUGCAGCGUAGAUCCUUCGGGGUUAGAUACAUUUGUGCUAAGUUAUAGCCUUUCAUUAGACAACUUGUUGACUAUGAUCAGUCAUGUAGCUUACUCAGCUUAUGCUAUUUUACCUACGCUUAGGAUGUUGAUGUGAUACUGCGAGC